GCAAAUUGUACAUGUUUAUAAAGCAGUAUGUAAUGGGCAAACAAAACCCUUAAUGCCAAGUCAUUGGAAGGAAUGUUUCUCCUAUCAAUUUUGCUGUCUUUUUAUCUUGCCUGUGGAUUUUGUUUAAACUUUGUGUAGUCAAGGUCAUCAGUCAUUUCCUCUCUUCUGAGCUAAAGCCCGAAAUACCUUCUGACAGGAUCACAUCAGUUGUGCGAGUCCCUCUAGGGCUCAGUUCCACAGCCCAGGCCGCCCGCCCACAGGACUUUCUGGUCCAUGAGGCUACGCGGCUCUAGGCGCCCCUGACAGGCUGCUCUGGUGAGAUCCAGCUCAGACCCAGGGACUGGCCCGCGUGGCCGAGGUCACGAGGGAGGUGCCCCCUCAGGGAGCCGGCCCUCGUGCAGUUGGGGGCAGUUGCGCUGGAGAGAGCUCCAAGGCAGAUGACCAGGGCCUCGCGGGAUGUCCCCUACUUGUUGAGCGAGGUGGACGUGGUCCAGGUCCGUGCACCUUUGAGCUCCUGUCAGUUGGUCAGCUCUGUCCCAUGUGCGUUAGCGCCAAUUGUCAAGCGCCCCCCAUCGUCCACUUUUAUAUCGUCUAAUGAGAAACCUACAGAGGCAGAACCUGCAGCUAUGGAGAGUUGACUGUAUUGUUCAAAACCUGUAGCCCUCAUCGAACAGAAUGUCGAAGUCUCCCAGAUGUGAAAUUACAGCUAUAUAGGUUACUCACUGCUCCCCAACUCCUUGGGUAAUUGGGAAGUCAGGACCUGAAAUCUGUGACUACUGAUGAGCAGCGAUUCAUCUGGCGUCCAGCAGGGGGCAGCAGGCAAAAAGUCAACAAUUGUGAGCGUCCUGCACCGUGGGCAAGCGGCCUGGAGGUGGUGCCCAAAAGCCCCUUGGCUGUGCUGUUCCUGCCGCAGGAUGUUGAAGCAUCCUGGACCCAAGGAUAUAUCCAUGCAAGUAAAGGGACAAAUUUCUCUAUAUCUAGACUCAUUGCAUGCAAGGACAACAAGGGUAAAUCAGUAAGGAUGAUCCUUGGCCACUCUGUGUCAACAAGAGAGACCAUGAAAAGCAUGCGAAAAUCACUAGUACUGGGUGACAAGAAUGUAAUGUCAAAGCUACCAGAAGACUGAUGAGGUGCAUGUGGCUGAAGUUGUGUCUCCUGUAUGGUUCAAGUUUCCGAUGGCUUGGGAAACUCCAGCUCCUCUGCAUCCCAGGACUCCACAUUGCAAUCUCCUAAGUUGCUAAAAGUUUCUGCAAAGAUGAAACAGGUACAGGAUCAGUGGGGGAGGACAAGGAUGUUGUAGGGAUAGGGACCAUGGGAUGGGUGUGCAGCACUCAGAAGGCUCCUGUGCUCUGGAGGGUAACCCUAAGUCCUGACCUCCACAGAAAUCAGGGCCAUGGGUCACUGAGGCCCAUUUGUGUGGGGCAUGGAUGUCCUACAAUUGUGAAUUCCAUUAGGCAUUCACUUGAGCAGCCUUCAGGGGACAUUUCACAUGGCAUUGAACCUGAUGUACAGGAAAGGGGAGAUCUCUUGGCCCCUGGGAUUAAAAAUCCAAGGCCAGGCUGGCACCGCAGCUCAAUAGGCUAAUCCUCCGCCUAUUCCACUGGGUUCUAAUCCUGGUUGGGAUGCUGGAUUCUGUCCCAGUUGCCUCUCUUCCAGGCCAGCUCUCUGCUAUGGCCCGGGAGUGCAGUGGAGAAUGGCCCAAGUGCUUGGGCCCUGAACCCCAUGGGAGACCAGGAUAAGCACCUGGCUCCUGGCUUCAGUUCAGCACAGUGCGCUGCCCGUAGUGCCCCAGCCACGGUGGCCAUUGGAGGGCGAACCAACAGCAAAGGAAGACCUUUCUCUCUGUCUUUCUCUCUCUCACUGUCCACUCUGCCUGUAAAAAAAAAAUCCAAGGCCCACUCCCCUGGGUCUUAUGAGAAGGAGGUUUGAUGACACAUAAUGGGAGUCCUGAUGCUGCCUACUCAGUUCUUACCCCACAGGCCUGGGGCCUGUAACCUGCAUGUUAAUUAUGGACAACUGCACAGAGCUCUUUGGUUUCCUUCCCUAAUCAUGUAGAAGUUCUUUCUAUCCUCCAUGUAGAAGUCAUUUCAGGGAUUUUAUUGGCAAGAAUUAUUCUGUGACAUUAACCCAACCAUUAUUGCUUUACUAUAUUUGAGCAUGGAAAAUGUGAUGGAAGACAUUUCUUUUGAGAGGGCCAUGCAGCCAGUGUGUAUUUGUGAUUGAAGUAUAAAAUUAGUGCACAAAUGAGAAGAACACUAUGUUCUUGACACCCUUCUCCUGUCACUCUUCAAAGUGAGUUUUGCCUUAAUUGCUGACAAUUAAGUUUAACAGUCACAUAGAAAAGUUUAUAUGCACAAAAAUAAACAAUCAACAUGUGAAAAAGCAUCUAUCAACCUCUGAGAAUGGAGGCUGAGGGCCCCAAAAGGCCUGGGUAAAUCCCCACAGCUCUUGUGUUCUGUGCUGGCUCUUAUGUGAUGUCAGGUUGGGAUGGGUAGCUACAAGGAUAUAAAGAUGUGUACAGUGGGCUGUCUUCCUGGUGUGAAAAGGCACCCAAAGGUGCCUCUCUCUGUCUCACCCUCUUCCUAAUCUUCCUGAGUUGGAGGUGGUCAGGGACAACCCCCAGUGUCUCCCCACACCUGUAAGGCUCCCUGUUGACUUCAGGUUGGGUUGGCAGGGACUCACCUUGUAGAUGGAGAUAUUCAACAGCUGUGGUGGCUCUCCCCAGACACUACACAACUAACAGCCCUCUCCAGAGUCAUUUGCCUGCCAAUCCUGCUAGCACCUACAGCCUUCCCUUCAGAUGAAAGCAAAAUUCCUCCUAGCAGCUCUAGGAGCUUCCAUGGAACAGGGAUGUGCUUCAUGGGACCACCUCAGGGCACAUCCUUCACUCACCUGUGUGGAUCCUGAACAUCCAUUCAUCUCCACUCUCAAGGUCAGGCUCAUUGGCAGCCUCUCCACUUCUGGUCUACAUUUAGUUGGCAUCCCUGAGGUGUCACAAAGAAUGUGGAGCAAUGGAGUCCAUGUGACCUUAUUUCCCUGACCCCCAUCUACCUGCUGCAAACUCACAUUUCCUGUUCUUCUUGGUCGAGAUCCUCAAUGUCCUGAAUGCUUUGAGUGUAAUUCACAUCAAGGGAACACGUGAACAGCUGGAAGGAGACCAGAAUGAGUUUCUUGAGGCAGGCAUUGCAGGAGAAGACCUGUCUGACCUGUCUUGGUGGACAAUAAGGACAGAUUCAGACUUCCCUGGAGUCCUCCCACCGAGAUUGGGACCCAGCUUGCCUGUCCCCAGGCCAGUUCCCUUGUAGGCCAGCCAGAUUGCUCAGCACCAUUUUAUAGUGUAGUCUGGGGGUCAGGAGUGAAGGCAAGUUUGAUCAACUGAGAAAGGAGAGCUGUAGAUAGAUUGUAUCAGCAUCCAUAGUGCAAGUAUAUCAAGUGCGUAGAUCAUACCAGGUUCUUCACAAUGAGAAUCAUCAACUCUGGUGAGGAGGGAAUGAGGGAGACAAAGGAAUAGGAGCUUCUGAGCAAAAAGCCAGAGAAUCAGAAAGAUAUGAAAAAGGAAACACUUACCCCCAGAUCACCACUUCCAAUGGAAAGUUCAGAGACUACCACGUAGCCUUCCAUGUGCACAGGAGCAGGGAGUGAUGAGGUUGCCAGAGAAAAGAAAAGGGAACAGUUAGACUUGAGGUGAGGACUUGGACCCCUGCUGCUGGUUGGAUGAUGUAGGCCAACCUUGGGACCCUCUUGGGGCUCCAUCUCUAUACCCCUGUUCCUGGGAUUGGAUGGCUUCACCUUUGUAAUGAGUUAGAGGAUCUCUGAACUUUGACCUCUUCUUUGAGCCCUCAAUAUCCCAUAAUACUCACUAGGAAUGUCACCUUGUUCCUCCUUGUGUAGCCACUGUCCAUUUGUUGAUGUGUGCAACACAUUAUUUUUCAUCCCUCAUGUUUCCCUUCCUCUAUUUUGGCUCAUAAAUAUUGUCCAUUUCCUUUGUCCUUGUCGACCUCCACCAAUCAUAUUAUUGUCUGCUAUGGGAGCUUUGGAGCCAAAGAUAAUGCUAUACUGCCUCCUGGAGCUGGCAUUGUGGUGCAGCAGGUGAAAGCACCCUGUGUGGCGACCACCCCAUAGGAUCACUGAUUGGUGUCCCUGGUUCACCCCUUCUGAUCCAGUUCCCUGUUAAUGUCCCUUGGAAAUCAGUGUAUAUGGCUCAUGCUUGGGCCCCUGCCAGACAUUUGGGAGACAGAUGGAGUUUCAGGAUCCUGGUUCAGCCUAGCCCAACCUUGUCAUUGAGGUUAUGUAGGAACUGAAACAUUGGAUGGAAGAUCUCUUUUUUUUUAUUUUUUUGCUCCAAGUCAUAACUCUGCCUUUCAAAUAAGUAUAUAAAUCUUUUAAAAAUAUAUUUUCAUGCACAGCAAUAUAUCUGGAGAUCAAUUCUAAAUGUGGGGAGCGAAUGUCCUGGUCUCCUGUUGGGGCCUGAGAAGGUAACAAGAUAACAAGGACCAAGUCCAUAUAUCUGGGUUAACCUUGUGGAGUUUGGAAAUAUUUAAUCAUCAUAGCAAUCCCAGGUUUCCUGACCCAUUUGAAAAGAUGCCCCAAAAAGGAGAGGAAAUUUAAUUUGUUCAAAUUCUGGUAGUGUGCCAAGGAGGCAACAGGGAGUCCACAGCAGGUUUAUUUUUGGCCAUAUCAAUAAAUGGGACUUGCUAGAGUUUUCAGUGAGCAGUGGAAAGACUGGGAAGAAGGACACCUGGCAGGCCUGAGGACAGGGAGUCUGCUGGGUCUGCCUAGAGGAGGGAACAGUUCAGUACUGUGUGUUUGGAGCAGUACAUCUGAGGGGAACAGCAACACACAGCCUUGCUGCCCAGAGGCACUCCACUGAGCCCAGUACGUUCUAAGGGAUGAGGUCAGCAGGACCGUGAGGGCCAGUGUGUGCUUCCAGCCCAGAAUGCCCUAACACAGAUCCUCUGGAAAGCCUGUGCAGCUAUGCAGUAUCUCCAGUAGUAACUGGAUAACAGCCUGUCACAAAGCCUGUUCCAGACUUGGGUGAGAUGGGGAUGCCAAGAGGAACUCAAAGUAAUGCUUGGCCAUCACAAUUCUAGGAUGUUGGGGCCUCCCCUGUCAGCUCAGAGGAAGUAUUCUUUAACUUGGCCAAACCUGGUGGUGAGAAGGUUGUGUUGUAAGCUGGGAGUAGACAGUGAAGAUAGAGCACAAAAGCACUGGUACAUGUACUGGCUGUGCAGAGGGGCAGGGUCCACUACUCACUGUCACUGGCACUUGCUACAGGACUGUGUGGGUUCCAGCCAGUGUGUGUGAGAGAUGGUGUCCCACUGUAUCCCAUGCCCUUCUGCCUUCUGCCAAGUGAAUCCAGGAUGCAACAAAGAGCCCUUCCUCAGACACAAUGGCACCAUCUUGGUCUUUGACCUGCCAACCGUGAGAAGAAAGAAAUUUCUCUUCCUUAUUAAUACAGAGUCUCAGGUAUUAUGUUGCAGUGAAAAGUGGACUAAGAUAAUGGUCAACAGAAAACUCAAACAUCUCUUGUCCUGAAUAUGCAGGCAGUGCUGUCCUAUCACAAUGCAGUGGACUUGAUCUUUGCAAUGGCAAUGCCAGGGAUGGUCAGCAGUAGAGAAAAUGUAACGUUUUAAAUACUAAAGCAAGAAAUGAUCAGUAAAAAUUCAGUUUGCUCCAAUCCCAUGGGUAUAUAACCUCUUCCUACUCUAUAAUUAAUGUAAAAAAGAACAAAACAGACAUCUACAUGCAAUAUAUUUUUUCCUCCUGAGUUAAUAUGUCCUCUCCAAAGUCCAAAGCAGCAGAUAAUCCAAGCCUUCCCCUAAUUUGACUCUCCAGUCUUUGUGGGUAUUGCUCAUACCUGAGGGGCUUCAUCCUCACUGUUGGACUUGGAAAUGCUCUGCAAGACCCAAUCUUGAGAGACACAAACACAGACAACAUGUGUUCACAGAGAGUCUCGCCUAUUCCUCCCCUCAGCCUGAUCCCAUCUUGGAUUGCCCAACAUGACCCUGCUCCCUCCUCUGUGCUCUCACACCCUUCCUUGGCUCUGUGGACCUUCAGGCAGACAUUGACCACAGCUUCAAGCCUUCCAGUGAAAGAGUGGAGCUGAAAACACUACCUCUCAACAUCUCACUUUCCCUAAAACAAUGAAUGAGGCUGCCUCCAGCCUGCAUCUGAAAACCCCAAAUCCCAGCUGUGAUGUGCAUGCUCAUAGAUGGAUGAGCUGGAGAAUGGACCUGUCCCAGGCUGAGAGAGAGCAUUCUGUGAGCAGCUGGAACUAAUUGUGCAGGAAGAGCACUUUCUUCAGGAGUUUGUGCUGAUUGUGCCUGACUUGGUUCAGAGCCUGAGCAGGGAAUCAGCCCGGUGUGUGGUCCAACAGGGUGUGCACAGUGAGGAGUAGACCUUUCCAGCCCUAUGCUAGAUCCCAGACCAGGGAUAUAUUCCUCAUUUGCCUAUGAGACCCUAGGAGGACAGCCAAGAGCCAGGCUGUGGGAUGGCAAUGUCUGCAGAUGACCAACCAGCCCAGGCUAGGCCUCCUGUACACAAGAGUGGGAGAACACAGAUGGACUUUGGCCCUGGGAACUCUAAUAAUUUCCAGUGCUGCUAAGCCACAGAAGUCUUUGGAUCAUACAAAGAAGCAGCAAGGGUGCAUGGACCCUAUCAUUGUGCUGAGCGUAUACUGUGCUGGAGCCUAUGCCCCUCCCCACCUCUCCUAUUACUGCAGUGUGCUUUAGCUGUGAUGGCCCUGAGAUGUGAUGGCCCCUCUAGUUUCCCUCUUUCUGUGUGGACAAUCAUUGUAUGGCAACUUACAAAAUCUUAUUCCCUGUUCAGGCCCCAAAAGAUCAGACCUGAAAUCCUCUCUGUAUCUGGCCUAUACCUGAAAUUGAUUUCUGCUGAGGCAUGUACUGUCCUUCUGCAGCAGAGAAGUGGAGACCUGCAUCCUAUUCUCUGAACCUCACCACAGCAUCCUUUAUUUCCUUUGGUAUUUAUAUAGACUUCAAACAAAGACCUUGAAUUGUUUCCUUGGAAAUGCCUUCUGAAGAAAUCUAGAACCAAUUUCAACUGGGAAAUUCAGCAGGAAUAUUGUAGGGUACUCCACCAAGGACUGAGUUGACAUUAGAAGCAGAAAUAGCUUUCAUUUCUUAAUGUAAUCAGUUCUUAGUAUUAGGCCAUAGGGUCAAAUAUGGACAUUUUGUAAUGAUUAAAACAAGGGUUUUCCAUAAAGAAGCAUAGAGAAGAUGGUGGAAUAGGGAGAAAGCUUAUUGACCUAGUCCAGGAGAAGGUAGUAAAAAAAGUGGAGAUAGUGUAGUCUCAAGAAAGAGUUAGAGAAAAACAUGGCAGAGGAAACUCUUCCAAAAUUAGAAGGACACAGUGGACCUACUUGAAGGGUGUGGUCACCAACCACCAGCAUCUGAGAGGCUAAGCUCCAGCAUUGGAAAGUAAGGUGAGAUAAGACUGCAGUAGCUGGAGACACUGGCAAAAAAGCAGCAGGAAGAGCCUAGAGGGAACAAGGCUUGAAGCCCCAUGAGGGAAAGUACACCAACCUAACUAGAUGAGAGAAAAAAGGGGCCAUAGAGACACAUUUCUCUCUGAUCGCCUUACAAAGGCGUGCAAGCUGAUAGAGCCAGUUCCGUUUUGGACAUACAUAACAGCAGCGGCAGCUUGUGUUUGCAACCAGCAAUCAGCCGAGCAGAGAAACCUGACUCUGGUGGGGAGUAAUAACAGGAGACUAAGACCUAGUGACUGUAUGGAACUUCUGAACUGGGAUUGUGAAAAAAAAAAAAAAAAACUGAGUGUGUGGGAGAAGUCACGGUGUGGCUGAGACUUUGAGUAGUCUUGGUAGGAGAUGCCACAAGCUCAGGCAGACCUGGCUAGUUGGUGGGAGACAUUGCAGGGGAAUCUGAACUUACACUGAUGACUGCACAGAUCCAUUGUGUGGUCCUUGUGACAGGGCAGACAAAUAAACCCACUGGGGCUAGUGCUCAGGCACUGAUCACCAUCAAAGUGAAGAGCUUAGCUGAGCGGAAAUAUUUCCCUUCUGAUUAAAAAAAAGAGAGAGAGAGAUUUACCACACCAAACCUGGGUGUGUCACCUUAGGCACGUCCUUAAGCCUGAAGAAUUGAACAGUGCUGUCUGGCCACACCCACCACAAGCCUCUAGAGAUUCGCUGAAAGCAGAUAGUCCACUUAUCUACAGAGUCAUAGUACAAUGAAAAAGGCCACCACAGCAGAAAUAAAAGCAAAAGAAGAAGAAACCAAUGAGUAUUUCCACAAGUGCUGAACAAGAAAUGGAACAAUCCAAGAAACAAGAAUAAGGAAGACAACAUGAUGCUCCCAAAAGAAUGUGACACUUCAAUACAAGAUUAUGAAGACAAUGAAAUAGAAGAAAUGCAAGAAAUGGAACUCAAUACAUUGAUGAUAAGAAUACUUAGAAGUAAUCAAAACCAAGCACACAGAGUACUGAAAUCCAUGCAGGAUAUGAAAAAAAGUCUUUCUCAUGAAAACUAAAUCUUAAGGAGAAAUCAAAAUGAAAUGAAGAAUUCAAUAGAACAUGAAAUUGAGAUAUUGAAGAAAAACCAAAAUGAAAUGAAGAAUUCAAUAGAAAAAAAUAAAAAAUGCAGUUGAAGGCCUUAAAAACAGAAUCAGUGAGGCAGAAGAGAGAAUAUCAGACUUGAAAGAGAACAGGAAGUAUAGAGUCAAACUGAAGACAAGAAGAAGAAAUUAGAAAUCUAAAAAAUAUUGUUGGGGAUUUACAGGAUACUAUUAAAAAACAAUAUCUGGGUUCUGGGAAUUCCUGAAGGCAUGGAGAGAGAAAAAGAAUUAGAAGGCCUUUUUAGUGAGAUACUUGCAGAAAACUUCCAGGGUUUGGAGAAAGACAUCCACAUACAGGAAGCACACAGAACUCCCAAUAGGCAUGACGAGAAAAGAUACUAGCCACCACACAUUGUAAUCAAACUCCCCACAAUGAAGCUUCAGGAAAAGAUUCUAAAAUGUGCAAGAGAGAAAUGCCAGAUUAUUCUCAGAGGAUCUCCAAUUAGACUCACAGCAGACUUCUCAUCAUAAACCCUACAGGCUAGGAGGGAAUGGCAAAACAUAGUCCAACUACUAAUUGAAAAAAACUGCCAUCCCAGAAUAUUAUAUCCUGAAAAGCUCUCAUCUGUGAAUGAAGGUGAAAUAAAGACCUUUCAUAGCAAAUAGAAAUUGAAAGAAUUUGUCACCAUUCAUCCAGCCCCGCAAAAGAUGCUUAAAGAUGUGUUAUACACAGAAACAUGGUCAUCAAUAUGAAAGAAGGUAAAGGAAAAAAAUCUCUCAGUAAAAGAACACAGGAAGUUCAAACUAUAUAUUAGAAAUAUUUUUGGAAAAAUGGCAGGGCACUAUAUAAUGAUUAUGGGAUCAAUUCAACAGGAAGAUCUACCUAUUAUAAACAUAUAUGCACCUAAUUACAGGGCACCAGACUAUUUAAAAGAUAUGUUAAGGGACUCAAAGGAGACUUAUGCUCCAAUAGAGUAGUAUUGGGUACUUCAAUACUCACUUUCAGCAAUACAGAAAAUUAACAAGUUAACAGCAAGUUUAAUAGACACUAUAGACCAAAUGGAUCUAACAUAUCUAUAGAACUUUUCAUCCUAUACUUGAAGAAUACACAUUCUUCUCAGCAGUGCAUGGAACUUUCUCUAGGAUUGACCACAUACUAGGCAAGUCGCAGCAAAUUCAAAAGAAUCAAAAUCAUACCAUGCAUCUUCUCAGACCCCAGUGGAAUGAAGCUGGAAAUUAGGAACUCAGGAAACCCUAGAACAUAUGUAAACACAUGGAUACUGAACAAGAUGCACCUGAAUGAACAAUGGGUCAUACAUGAAAGAGAAAUAAAAAACAUUCUGGAAGCAACUGAAGAUAACAACACAUCAAAACUUAUGGGACACAAUAACAGCAGCGUUAAGAGGAAAGUUUAUAGCAAUAGAUGCCUACAUCAAGAAAUUGAAAAGGCACCAAACAAAUGAGCUAUCAAUGCAUCCCAAAUAUCUAGGAAAAAUACAGAAAACCAAUCCCAAAACUAGUAGGAGAAGAGAAAUAAUUAAAAUUGGAAAAGAAAUCAACAAAAUUGAAUCCAAAAGAACAUUACAAAAGAUCAGCAAAAUGAAUAGUUGAUUUUAAAAAGAAAAAACAAAAACAAAAAUGACACACCAAUUGGCCCAAAUAACCAAAAAGUGAGAGAAGACCCAAAUCGAUAAAAUUAAAGAUGAAAAAAGUAAUGUAACAACAGACACCACAGAAAUAAAGAGUCAUCAGAAAUUACUACUAGGGGCUGGCAUGGUGGUGUAGCAGGUAAAGCCACCACCUGCAGUGCCAGCAUCCCAUAUGGAUGACCGGGCUGCUCCACUUCCAAUCCAGCUCUCUGCUAUGACCUGGGAAAGCAGUAGAAGAUGGCCCAAGUCCUUGGACCCCUGCACCUGCAUGGGAGACCUGGAGGAAGCUCCUGUCUCUUGGCUUCAGAUCAGCACAGCUCUGGCCAUUGCAGCCAAUUGGGGAGUGAACCAGUGGAUGGAAGACCUCUCUCUCUCUCUCUGCCUCUCCUUCACUCUGUGUAACUCUUUCAAAUAAAUAAAUAAAUAAAUCUUUAAAACAAAUUACUAGUAAGAGUUGUAUGCUAACAAACUGGGAAAUCUAGCAGAAAUGCAUAGAUUCCUGGACACAUACAACCUACCUAAAUUGAACCAUAAAAACAUAAAAACCCUAAACAGACCCAUAACCAAGUCAGUAAUUUAAUCAGUAAUAAAGGCCCUCCCAAGAAAAAAAGCCCAGAACUGGAUGGAUUCACUUCUAAAUUCUACCAGACAUUUAAAGAACUAACUCCAAUUCUUCUCAAACUAUUCAAAACAAUUGAAAUAGAGGGAAUUGUCCCAAAUUCUUUCUACAAAGCCAGUGUCACCUUAAUUCCUAAACCUGAAAUUGAUGCAGCAGAAAAAGAAACUUACAGACCAGUUUCUCUGAUGAACAUUGACACAAAAAUGAUCAAUAAAAUUCUGGACAAUAGAAUUCAACAUCACAUCAGAAAGAUCAUCCACCCAGACUAAGUGGGAUUUAUUCUUGUUAUGCAGGGAUGGUUCAGCUUUCCCAAAUCAAUGUGAUACACCAUAUAAACAAACUGCAGAAGAAAAACCAUAUGAUUAUCUCAAUAGAUGCAGAGAAAGCUCUUGGUAAAAUACAACACCCUUUCAUGAUGAAAACUCUAAGCAAAUUGGGGAUAGAAGGAACAUUCCUCAACACAAUCAAGGCAAUUUAUGAAAAACCCACAGUCAGCAUCAUAUUGAAUGGGGAAAAGUUGGAAGCAUCCUCACUGAGAGCUGCUACCAGACAGGGAAGCCCACUCACCAUUGAAUAUUCAACAUAGUACUAGAAGUUUUAGCCAGAGCCAUUAGGCAAGAAAAAGAAUUUAAAGGGAUACAAAUUGGGAAGGAAGAAGUCGAACUAUCCCUCCUUGCAGACAAUAAGAUUCUUUAUUUAGGGGAUCCAAAGAAAUCCACUAAGAGACUUUGGAAUUCAUAGAAGAGUUUAGCAAAGUAGCAGGAUAUAAAAUCAAUGCACAAAAAUCAACAGCCUUUGUAUACACAGUCAAUUCCACAGCUGAGACAGAACUUCUAAAAAAUAUCAAUCUCAUUCACAAUAGCCAUAAAAAAUACCUUGGAAUAAACUUAACCAAGAAUGUCAAAGAUCUCUAUGAUGAGGAUUACAAAACUUUAAAGAAAGAAAAGGAUACCAAAAUAUGAGAAAAAAAAUCUUCCAUGCUCAUGGAUUGGUAGAAUCAAUAUCAUCAAAAUGUCUAUUCUUCCAAAUCAAUAUACAGAUUCAAUGUGUUACCAAUCAAAAUACCAAACACAUUCUUUCUCAGAUCUUGAAAAAAUGAUGCUAAAAUUCAUAUGGAACACAGGAGACCUCAAAUAGCUAAAGCAAUCUUGGACAACAAAAACAGAGCCGAAGGCAUCACAAUAUCAGAUUUCAAGACAUACUACAGGGCAGUUAUAAUCAAACCAGCAUGGUACUGGUACAGAAACAGAUGGAUAGACCAAUGGAACAGAAUAGAAAUACCAGAAAUCAACCCAAACAUCUAUAGCCAACUUAUAUUUCAUCAAGGAUAUAACACCAGUCAAAGACAAAACUAACAAAUGGGAUUACAACAAAUUGAGAAGUUUCUGUACUGCAAAAGAAUGAGUCAGGAAAGUGAAGAGACAACUGACAGAAUGGGAGAAAAUACUCACAAAUUAUACAACUGAUAAAGGAUUAAUAACCAGAAUCAACAAAGAGAUCAAGAAAUUUCACAACAACAAAACAAACAACAUAUUUAAGAGAUGGGCCAAGAACCUAAAAAGACAUUUUUCAAAAGAGGAAAUCCAAAUGGCCAACAGACACAUGAAAAAUGUUCAGGAUCACUAGCCAUCAGGGAAAUGCAAAUCAAAACCACAAUGAGGUUUCACCUCACCCUGGUUAGAAUGGCUUACAUACAGAAAUCAACUAAUAGAUGCUGGUGAGAAUGUGGCAGAAAAGGCACACUAAUCUACUCUUAGUGAGACUGCAAACUGGUAAAGACACUAUGGAGACAGUUUGGGGAUUCCUCAGAAACCAGAAUAUAGCCCUACCACAUGACCCAGCCAUCCCAAUUUGCAAAUAAUAGUGCUGUCUGUGCCUCAAUGUUUAUUGCAGCUCAAUCAGAAUAGCUAAGACAUGGAAUCAACCUAAAUGCCCAUCAACAGAAGACUGGAUAAAGAUACUAUGGGAUAUGUACUCUAUAGAUUACUACACAGUGGUAAAAAAAUAAAAUUCAGUCAUUUGCAUUAAAAUGGGAAGUCUGGAAAACAUCAUGCUGAGUGAAAUAAGCCAAUCCCAAAGGGACAAAUAUCAUAUGUUCUCCCUGAUCUGUAACAACUAACUGAGCACCUAAAAGGAAACCUGUAGAAGUGAAACUGAUACAAUGAGAAACAAUGACGUGAUCAGCCCUUGUCCUGACUGUCGAGAAAGAGCUUACUAUUUUAUUCUUUUUAGUAUUUUUUCUACUUAAUACCAUUGGUUGAACUCUUUUAAUUAACACACAAUUAUUCUUAGAUGUUUAAAUUUAAGUGAAAAUUGAUCCCUGUUAAAAAUAAGAGUGGGAAUAAGAAAUGGAGGAGAGGUACAGUUUGGCGCAUGCUCACUCAGACUUACCCCUUAAUGGUAGAGCUAGAAACGUGUCAUGGAACUCCAAAUCCCAUUAAGUUGGCAGGUACCAAUGCCAUCUUACUAGUUAAAAUGAUCAGUUUAAGUUCAAAAUUGAUCAUAAAGAUAGCAUAGUGUCAAAGGGAUCACAUAAAUAAGACCAGUAUCUGCUAAUAGUAAUUGAUAGAAUUAAAAAGUAGAGAAUGACCCAACAUGGGAAGUGGGAUACACAGCAGACUCAUAGAAUGGCAAGUGCCCUAAAUAGCACUCUGGCCUCAGAAUCAGCCCCUAAGGCAUUCAGAUCUGGCUGAAAAGCCCAUGAGUUUCUCAGGCAUGGAAAGCAAAGACACUGUGGCAAAAAAUGACCUAAAUGAAAAAUCUCUGUGAGUGAGAUCCCAGUGGAAAGAAUGGGCCAUCAAAGAAUGAGGUACCUUUCUCUGAAGGGAAGAGAGAACUUCCACUUUGAUUGUGGCUUUGUCUAAAUAAGGUCGGAGUUUGUGAACUCAAGAGGCUUCCAUAGCUUUGUGUGAUUACUGAUGUCAUAAAUAAGAGGUGUCAAUUGUUAAAUCAACAACAGGAGUCACUGUGCAUUUACUCCCCAUGUAUGCUCUGUCCUUAAUGUGUUGUACUAUGAGAAUUAACAGCAAAACUAGUCUUCAGACAGUACUUUAUACUUUGUGUUUCUGUGUGGGUGCAAACUGUUGAAAUCUUUACUUAGUAUAUACUAAGUUGAUUUUCUGUAUAUAAAGAUAAUUAAAAAUGAAUCUUAAUGAAGAAUGGGAUGGGAGAGGGAGUAGGAGGUGGGAUGGUUUGCAGGUGGGAGGGUGGUUAUAGGGGGAAACUGUUAAAAUCCAAAAGUUGUACUUUUGAAAUUUAAUAUUUAUUAAAUAAAAAUUUUCCAAAAAAAAGUGAAUUUGCAAACCAUUAGGCUUUCAUUUUUAAGUCAAUAUUUUAAUCUUAUUUGUUGAUUUAAAAGGUUGUGAUCAUUUUAAGGCUGAUAAAUAACCCACACUCACAUCAUUCUUGUUAAAUUACUCAUGUGAGCAUUUGGAGAACUCACCAAAAGAUAAAUCUUUCUCUCCAAAAAAAAAAAAAAGUUAGAUGCUGCAAGUAGCAGGCAAGUUAGUUAAUAAUCUCCAAAUAUAUUCCAGUAUUACAAAUCAUUUAAAGUUAGAUAAAGAAUGAUAAACUAAAUAUUUACUAUAAUGAAAAUGUAUUUGUGGGCAGGCACCAUGGCUCACUAGGCUAAUCCACUGCCUGCAACGCCAGUACCUCGGGUCCUAGUCCCUGUUGGGGUGCCGGAUUCUGUCCCGGUUGCUCCUCUAACAGUCCAGCUCUCUGCUGUGGCCCAGAAAGGCAGUGGAGGGUGGUCCAAGUCCUUGGGCCCUGCACCUGCAUGGGAGACCAGGAGGAAGCACCUGGCUCCUGACUUUGGAUUGGCACAGCACGGUGGCUAUGGUGGCCAUUUGGGGGGUGAACCAAUGGAAGGAAGACCUUUCUCUUGGUCUCUCUCUCUCACUGUCUAACUCUGCCUGUCAAAAAAAGCCUAUUGGUAUUCAAAAAAAUGGAAAUGGAAAAGAAUUAGCACAAUGGAGCAUGAUAUAUAGUAGGACUUUAAUAUAUCCAUAUAAUGUGUUGGAAGCUUAAUCCUCAAGGUAACAGUCCCUAUCCUAAGGAACAUCUUCCUACCAAUUUUAAAAGACCAAAGGCUCUCAGUUCUACCUCUUAUUUUUUCUCAUAAUUUCAUUUCACUCUUGCCACAUCAUGAUUCAGGGAGAUGGACCUUUCCAGAUAGGGCCUUUUGACUUUAGGCUGCCCACCCUCAGACUCUAAGAAGUAAAUUUGAUUUCUUGAGGCUAGUCUUGUGGCACAGAAGGUUGUUCCACCACUGGUGAAUCUUUGAUCUCACAGCAGAGUCUGAUUUGAGUCCUGUUGCUCAACUUCCAAUUCAGCUUCCUGCUAAUGUACCAAGAAGGCAGUCUAUGAUUGCUCAAGCAUUUAGGUCCCUGCCACCCAUGUGGGUGACUCAGAUGAAACUCCUGGCUCCUGGCUUUGGCGUUGUCCCACCCUGAUUGUUGUAGCCAUCUGGUUAUUCUGUGUAUAAACUCAAUUUCAAUCCCUCCCUCUCUCCCUCUUUCUGUUGCUCUUUCAAGCAAGUAAUUUUGAAAACUGUUUUUCUUUCUAAAUAACCCAUUGUGUACCAUUUUUAUCAGACACAAAAACAGACUAAAAUGGAAAAUAAGCCAAAAGAUUUUAAUUCAUAAAAGAGCUUCAGAAGCCCAGGAAUGAUUUAGAAAGCAAUCUAACAUUAAAAGAUUUGCAGAAAGGAGAACUAAAAAACAAGUUCACUUUGGCUAAAGAAAAAUUAAAUGCACAAUUGUGCUGUUUUCCCAUUUAUGCGUAGUGUUUAUAGUAUUGAUUUUGAAUAAACUUCUUCCAGACCACUGGUAUGCAUGGAUUACUAACAUUUUUGCAUCAAAAUAACCUUGUCUGUUAUUUCAAAGUCCUUCAUAACUGCAACUGAAAUUUCAGUAAAAAUAAAAUGAGUGAAAUAUAGAAUGUGUCCUAAUCAGCACAGAUAUAAAACUAUUCUAGGCAAAUAACAAACUGAAGGAAUCCAAAUACAAAGAAAAGAUCUUGAAUGUAAUGAAAGAACAGCCUAUGGCAUACUGAGUUAUAGCCAUCCAUGAUUGAUGGCUAACUUCCCCACAGAAACAAUGGAAAGAAAUCAUCAGCGUACUCAGAGAAAAUGUUCUCCCAACCUGGAUUCUAUAUGUAAUGUAAAUACUGUAAAAUAUAAGAGGAACAUUUUGGCUCAUUGGGAUAAGCUGCUUCUUGGUAUGCUCAUAUAUCAGUAUAGCUACCCCUGCUUCUGAUUUAACUUCAUGCUAAUGCUCACCCAGGAAGGCAGCAGAUAACAGCUCAAGUAGUUGGGUCCCAGAUACCCACAUAGGAUAGAGUUCCAGGUUCCUGGCUUUGGCCUGGCCCCUGCUCAAGCGUUUGCAGGCAUUUGGGGAGUGGACUAUCAGAUAGAAGACCUUUGUGUCUCUUAAGUAAACAAAAAAUGAACAUUAACCUGUGUAGUGGAAAAAUACAUUUUUUAAACAACAAAAUAUGAAGAUAACCACCAGCAGAUUCUAUAAAAUGCUAAAGAAGUUCUCCAUGCUCAAGUAUAAUGAAAUAAGAUGAAUACUUGCAUGAGCAGAAGUUGGGAACCUGUGUCCUACCAAAAUCCAUUUGGAUAUUUUAACAUUAUUUGUAGGCCAUGCAAAAUUAUCAAUUUAAAAAAUAGCCUGCUAUAGAUUUAUUGAAUUAAGAGUAUCACCUGGGGCCAACGCUGUGGCGCAGUGGGUUAAAGCCCUGACCUGAAGCUCUGGCAUCCCAUAUGGGUACUGGUUCUAGUCCCGGCUGCUCCUCUUCUGAUCCAGCUCUCUGCUGUGGCCUGAGAUAGCAGUAGAAGAUGGCCCAAGUCCUUGGGCCCCUGCACCCACGAGGGAGACCCUGAAGAAACUCCUGGCUCCUGGCUUCAGAUCAGCUCAACUCUGGCUGUUGCAGCCCCUUGGGGAGUGAACCAGCAGAUUGAAGACCUCUCUCUCUCUCUCUCUCUCUCUACUCUCUCUGUAACUCUUUCAAAAAAUAAAAUCUUUAAAAAAACUAAAAUCUUUAUAGGUGUAAUAAAAAUAUAAUACUUCCCUUUUCCUCAUCUUUUUAAACACUGCAUUCAAAUAUUUGCUUAAAAAUUUAAGAGCAAAAAAAAAAAACAA